rnacentral:rRNA from 1 species
AUGGACAGAUUUCUGCUGAAACGAACGGCACCAGAGACUGAUCUGGCAGGGACUUCAAGGCCAGUUAGACUAAGGCAAGAUCAUGCAUCAAAUAUUGGUACUACUACCACAACAGAUAUUAAUUUGGAUGAACUUCCUUUUGAUCCGGCCAAUCGAAAAAGAAUACCACAGUACACUAAGAAUCCAAAGAAGCAAGAUGAGAUCAGAAGAAUAUAUUUAACUAGAGGACCUUAUAGGCCAAAAGAAGGCUUUGUAUAUCCGCAGAAGACCAUCAGAGGAUUUGAAAGAAGAUUCAAGCCAGAAUGGUUUAAAGAUUAUCAUUGGCUAGAGUACAGUGAUAAAGUGCAUAAGGCAUUUUGCCAAUGUUGCUAUUUGUUCAGAGAUUGCAUCGACGGUCAAGGUGGGAAUGAUGCAUUUGUUGUCAAUGGUUUCUCUAGUUGGAAUAAGAAAUACAGAUUGGAUACUCAUGUGGGUGAGGUUAAUAGCUAUCACAAUGUAGCUGCUAAAAGGUGUGAUGCCUUGAUGAAUCAAGACCAAUACUUAUUACAUCAAGGUUUAGCUUUCCGUGGCAAUGAUGAAUCAGAGGAAUCCAAAAAUAAGGGGAAUUUUCGAGAGUUGGUACAAACAUUAGCAAAUCAGAAUGAGGAUGUGAGGAAUGUAGUUCUUAAGAAUGCUCCAAAAAAUUGCAAAUGGGUGUCUCCAGAUAUUCAAAAGGAACUUGCAAAUUAUUUUGCAAAGAUAACAUUGAAUUCUAUUCUUGAAGAAAUUGGUGGUGAUGUUUUCAGUUUGUUGAUUGAUGAGGCUUCCGAUGUGUCAGACAAAGAACAAAUGGCUGUUGUGUUGAGGUAUGUUGAUAAGCUUGGGUUGAUCCUAGAACGACUAGUUGGGGUAGUACAUGUGAAGGAAACAUCGGCAAUGUGUCUCAAGUCAGCCCUUGAGAAAUUGCUUGUUGAUAUUGGAUUAAGCUUCAAACAAGUUAGAGGGCAAUGCUAUGACGGGGCAAGCAAUAUGAGGGGUGAGUUCAAUGGUUUGAAAGCUAAAAUUCAGGAAGAGAAUAAGUCAGCAUAUUAUGUGCAUUCAAUUUCAAAGAAGAAUGAAGAUAUUGUAGAUUUCUUUUACAUGAUCUCUCUUCUGUUUAAUGUGGUUGGAGCUUCUUGCAAAACAAAAGACAUGAUCAGAGAGACUAAUAGAGAGAAUGUGAAAAAAGCCAUAAGUAGUGGGCGAAUUAGUACCGGCACAGGGUUGAAUCAAGAUCAAUCACUUCAAAGGGCGGGAGACACCCGUUGGGGUUCUCACUAUAGAACCCUCUCAAGCCUAAUUCAGUUGUUCCCAUCAAUUGUCAGUGUCCUCAAGUAUGUAUCAAAAGAAGGCAAGAAAGAUUCCAAGAAAAGUGAAGCACGUGAUCUUCUAUCAUAUUUUGGAACCUUUGAUUUUGUGUUCUAUUUGCACAUGAUGCUCCAUAUAUUAGGGAGUGCCAACACUCUGUCACAAGCAUUGCAACAAAAGGAUCAAGAUAUCUUGAAUGCAAUGUCAUGUGUGAAGUCAACAAGGAAUGAUCUAGAACAACUAAGAGAUAAUGGGUGGGAAUCACUUUUGGAGAAGGUAUAUGCAUUCUGUGAAGAACAUGACAUUCCAAAGCUAAGCAUGCAAGAUGAAUAUGUCAAUCGACAUAAUGCACGAAAAAGAACCAAUAUAACAAACCUGCAUCAUUAUCAAAUAGAGUGUCUUAACACUGUUAUUGAUUGGCAACUUCGAGAGUUUGAUGACAGAUUCAAUGAAGUAAAUUCUGCAUUGCUUAUUCACAUGGCUUCUUUCAACCCAAAAAACUCUUUCGCUGCUUUUAACUUGGAGAGUUUGUUGAAGCUAGCUGAGUUUUAUCCUGAGGAUUUUGAUUCAUCAAAAUUGAUGGAUCUUGGACAUGAACUUCGGAUUUACAUUGACAAUGUCCGAGCAGACCAAAGAUUUGCCAAUUUGGAUGGCAUUGCGGAUCUUGCUAAAAAGUUGGUGGAUACUAAGAAGCAUCUUGCUUUCCCUUUGGUGUAUCAACUUCUGAAGCUAGUGCUAAUUUUGCCGGUUGCCACAGCGUCAGUGGAGAGAUGCUUUUCAGCAAUGAAUAUUGUGAAGAGUGUUUUACGCAACAAAAUGGGUGACCAGUUCAUGAGUGAUUGCUUGAUUUGCUACUAUGCGGAGAAAGAUAUAUUUGCUACCAUUACAAAUGAUGCCGUAAUUGAUCUAUUUAAGAAGAUGGGAGAUCGAGAAGGCAAGUUAUAA